GAUAACCCGAGUCUAACCACCGGGAUGUUCAUAACCCUUUGUUGUCCGACUCUGUUGCCUCCGGGGCGACCCUGCCUUCGGGCGGGGGCUCCGGGUGGACACUUCAAACUCUUGCGUAACUUUGCAGUCUGAGUAAACUUAAUUAAUAAAUUAAAACUUUUAACAACGGAUCUCUUGGUUCUGGCAUCGAUGAAGAACGCAGCGAAAUGCGAUAAGUAAUGUGAAUUGCAGAAUUCAGUGAAUCAUCGAAUCUUUGAACGCACAUUGCGCCCCCUGGUAUUCCGGGGGGCAUGCCUGUUCGAGCGUCAUUUCACCACUCAAGCCUCGCUUGGUAUUGGGCAACGCGGUCCGCCGCGUGCCUCAAAUCGACCGGCUGGGUCUUCUGUCCCCUAAGCGUUGUGGAAACUAUUCGCUAAAGGGUGUUCGGGAGGCUACGCCGUAAAACAACCCCAUUUCUAAGGUUGACCUCGGAUCAGGUAGGGAUACCCGCUGAACUUAAGCAUAUCAAUAAGUCGGAGGAAAAGCCCGCCCGACACAAGAACAAAAAACGGCCCAUAAGAACCAAAGUGAUCCCAAUCUGUAGCAUGCAGAGCGACC
rnacentral:rRNA from 1 species